GAUGAAGAACGUAGCGAAAUGCGAUAAGUAAUGUGAAUUGCAGAAUUCAGUGAAUCAUCGAAUCUUUGAACGCACAUUGCGCCCUCUGGUAUUCCGGGGGGCAUGCCUGUUCGAGCGUCAUUACAACCCUCAAGCUUUGCUUGGUAUUGGACAUUGCCAGUUUCUGGCAGGUCUUAAAAUCAGUGGCGGUGCCAUUUGGCUUCAAGCGUAGUAAUUCUUCUCGCUUUGGAGAUCCAAGUGGUUACUUGCCAAUAACCCCCAAUUUUUUCAGGUUGACCUCGGAUCAGGUAGGGAUACCCGCUGAACUUAAGCAUAUCAAUAAGCGGGGA
rnacentral:misc_RNA from 1 species